rnacentral:rRNA from 1 species
GAUGAACGCUGGCGGCGUGCCUAACACAUGCAAGUCGAACGGAGUCCAGCCUUAGAGACCUUCGGGUCAAAGAGGGGAAGACUGAGUGGCGGACGGGUGAGUAACACGUGGGCAACCUGGCUCAUAGAGGGGGAUAACAGAGAGAAAUUUCUGCUAAUACCGCAUAAGCACACACUGCCGCAUGGCAGAGUGUGAAAAGAGAAUCGCUAUGAGAUGGACCCGCGUCUGAUUAGCCAGUUGGCAGGGUAAGAGCCUACCAAAGCGACGAUCAGUAGCCGAUUUGAGAGGAUGAACGGCCACAUUGGGACUGAGACACGGCCCAAACUCCUACGGGAGGCAGCAGUGGGGGAUAUUGCACAAUGGGGGGAACCCUGAUGCAGCGACGCCGCGUGAGUGAAGAAGUAUUUCGGUAUGUAAAGCUCAAUCAGCAGGGAAGAUAAUGACAGUACCUGAAUAAGAAGCCCCGGCUAACUACGUG